AGUUGAUACCAGUUUACUCUCCUAUCAACCCAGUCAAGUGGCAUGGAAGUUGUAAAGGUUGGAGGUCCCAUCUACAGGAUUGGAGUUGGAGGUGGAGCUGCUUCAUCUGUGCAGGUGCAGGGAGAUAACACCAGUGACCUGGACUUUGGGGCUGUGCAGCGAGGAGACCCGGAGAUGGAACAGAAGAUGAACCGUGUGAUCAGGGCUUGUGUGGAGGCCCCCAAGGGAAACCCCAUCUGCAGCCUUCAUGAUCAGGGCGCUGGUGGCAAUGGCAAUGUCCUAAAAGAGCUGAGUGACCCAGCUGGAGCCAUCAUUUACACCAGCCGCUUCCAGCUUGGGGACCCAACCCUGAAUGCCCUGGAAAUCUGGGGGGCUGAGUACCAGGAAUCAAAUGCUCUUCUGCUGAGGUCCCCCGACCGGGACUUCCUGACUCAUGUCAGUGCCCGUGAACGUUGCCCGGCUUGCUUCGUGGGCACCAUCACUGGAGACCGGAGAAUAGUGCUGGUGGACGAUCGGGAGUGUCCUGUCAGAAGAAAUGGCCAGGGGGAUGCCCCCCCGACACCCCCGCCAACCCCUGUGGACCUGGAGCUCGAAUGGG
rnacentral:sRNA from 1 species